rnacentral:rRNA from 1 species
CCUACGGGAGGCAGCAGUGGGGAAUAUUGCACAAUGGGCGAAAGCCUGAUGCAGCCACGCCGCGUGAUGGACGAAGGGUUUCGGCUCGUAAACUUCUAUCAACCGGGACGAAAGAAAUGCCGGUACCUGAAUAAGAAGCCACGGCUAACUACGUGCUCGCCGCCGCGGUUAUACGUAGGGGGCAAGCGUUAUCCGGAAUUACUGGGUGUAAGGGGUGAGUAGGCGGCAUGGUAAGCCAGCUGUGAAAGCCUUGGGCUUAACACGAGGAUUGCAUUUGGAACUAUCAAGCUAGAGUACAGGGGAUGAAAGCGGAAUUCCUAGUGUAGCGGUGAAAUGCGUAGAUAUUAGGAAGAACACCAGUGGCGAAGGCGGCUUUCGGGACUGAAACUGACGCUGAGGCACGAAAGCGUGGGGAGCGAACAGGAUUAGAUACCCGUGUAGUC